rnacentral:misc_RNA from 1 species
GAUGAAGAACGUAGCGAAAUGCGAUACUUGGUGUGAAUUGCAGAAUCCCGUGAACCAUCGAGUCUUUGAACGCAAGUUGCGCCCGAAGCCAUUAGGCCGAGGGCACGCCUGCCUGGGCGGCACACGACGUUGCCCCCCCAUCUACUCCUUCGGGAUUGCGGGGGGCGGAUGAUGGCCUCUCGUGCGCCUCGUCGCGCGGUUGGCCUAAAUGCCAAGUCCUCGGCGACGCACGCCACGACAAUCGGUGGUUGCGAAACCUCGGUUGCCUGUCGUGUGCGGUCGUCGCGCAUCGAGGGCUCGAAAAAAUUGCCGGGCUUCGGCUCGACUUUCAACGCGACCCCAGGUCAGGCGGGGUUACCCGCUGAAUUUAAGCAUAUCAAUAAGCGGAGGA